UCAAACAAGACACUCCUUAAUGAGUAGAUAUGAGUAAAAGAAUACGCUCAAGAUCACAACAACUUGCGACAAGAAUUUGGCUCUCAAAAACUUAUGUAAUGAAUAUAAAAUGAUAAGCAAUAAAGUAUGCAAGCUUUGGCAAUUGUAUAAUCAGUUCUUGUAUGUUGUUGUUCUUAAAAGACUGAAUUGAAGCUGUAUUUAAGUUGAAAACCCUUGUAUU
rnacentral:lncRNA from 1 species